GAGGAUGGAAAGUUUGAUCCUUCAUGUGUUAGCUAUGUUGAGCAUGUCGACACAGAUUUACUGGCCAAACAAAAAGAGUCAAAAAAGAUGAAAAGAAAGAAGACAAAGUUUGAAGAGCUUCUUGCAACUGAAAUGCGUGGACAGGAUAUCUCCGCAGAUGAGGAUCUGGCUUUGGAAAGGAAGCUUGCGAAGAAGCUCAAGGUGAAGAGAGGGAAAUUACUUGGGGA
rnacentral:misc_RNA from 1 species